UUGCCUAUAAACGUGGGAUCGCCGUUACCUCUGCGGAAGGCAUGGCAGGCCAUUUCCCUCCCAUGAGCAGGUAGCUCGCAGCUCUGACUUUUCAUUCAGCGAGCCAGGGCCGCCCGUGACAAGCAUCCCUGCGAGGUGGGAGAAGCUAGCAGCGUGGCGCUGCCGCGGCAAGAAGGAGAGGGCGAUAAACGGCGACGCAUGACAACCCGAAGCGCCAUGUGGAGCAGCUCCCUAGGGAGCACUAUCCAAAAGCCCCCUUUGAAGAAGUACUCAAGUGACCCUCUGUGAAGUGCUAUCUGAGCAAAUCAUUCUGAAACCUGCUUGCACCUCCCCUUUUAAAGUGCUUCCUAAACUGCAAUCCCACAAUGGUAAGAUGUUUACCUUGGGUAGGUAAAGUAGCUCACUGUGGAUUUUUCAUUUAUAUUAGGCUACUUUUAUAAAGGAGUUCCAAUGUA